AUUCGAGGAAAAUGUUCAACUUCCCAAUUAUACGAACCAGAAAUACUGAAUAAACGAAUUCUGUUGACCUGAGGGAAGGUGUUAGGCACCCCCGGAUCCCGUGGUUCCAGCACAGUCGCUUAAAUUUUUAUGAAUGGCUAAAAUCUGAUUUUAUUACAUGAAGAGCUUGUGUGCCAAUUUUUACUUUUUACCGCUUUUAUUCGACAUAAUAUUUAUUUGA
rnacentral:lncRNA from 1 species